rnacentral:rRNA from 1 species
UACGUAGGGGGGCAAGCGUUGUCCGGAUUUAUUGGGCGUAAAGAGCGAGCAGGCGGCAUAUCAAGUUGGACGUGAAAUUUUAGGGCUAACCCUAAAGGGUCGUCCAAAACUGGUAGCUAGAGUGCAGGAGAGGAAAGCGGAAUUCCCGGUGUAGUGGUGAAAUGCGUAGAUAUCGGGAGGAACACCAAUUGCGAAGGCAGCUCGCUGGGACGUAACUGACGCUGAGACGCGAAAGCG